rnacentral:lncRNA from 1 species
CCAAAAUAUCAGUUCCACAGACGCCUCCAGCCUGAGAGGGAGCUCGGUACUGAGCACGCAGCAAUCCGCCGGCCCGCGGCCAUUUCAGCUGAAUGAACAGUCGAGGUCCUCACGACAUGCAGAAACACCUCCAUGCCUGAAGUUGCCCCUUACAUCCCCUCCAAGAAGAGCCUUAGUGUUCAUCUAAUCCCUGGAGACAGUAAUAUCGAGAUAGGUCAGCUUUGUCUAGCGUGCAUUAGGACAGACAGCACUGCGCACGGGGGAAGCAUCCACGUUCAAUAGCAUCCUGUGACACACACCAGCUCCUCAUGGCUCUUCUCCUCCACCACCGCCGUCCUGGGAAGCUUUCAGCCUGCAAGCUGCCUGAAAUCCUGUCUCUUCGUGGGAGCAGGAGCAGCAAGAGCAAUCCAUUCCCUGAAGCCUAGCGGAAAGCUGGCUGUUACCACCCACAGCGUACGACGAUGGGGAGGCUUCCAGACUUGAUUGAACGUAUUUUGUUCCUGACGUCUGUGAUUUCUAGAAGUGUGUGUAUCAGGUACAGCACCGGCUCGUACCAUUACAGAGAUCAGAGCCUUCAGUCCAUUGUAAGCCACUUCGGUUUCAACCUCUGGAGCAGCGGCCGUCCCACUCCCCGCUGUCACAUCAGCCACCAUGCAGGCUGGACGGAACGCAGCUCUUCACCAUGGGGUUCAUUUCAUGGAGCAAAUGAGAGCCACGUAGCACUGUUACCCUCCUAGCCUGCACGUCCAGAUGUUACAGAGCCCUAGCUCCUCGCAGAUCAGCUCUGCUAUAAGCAGUAACCACACAGCAGGCAUUUUCAUGGGAUCUAUCUACAUUCCCUUCUCCCCACAUACAAAAAGGAUGUAUUUGAAGUUUUUUCCUCAAGCCAGCAGAAAACACUAGCCAAGCUUUAACAGGUGCAAUACACAAACCAGGUCAUUGGACUCCACUGGCUCCCAGGCCAUGGCAAGCAGAAAGGCUGGGCAUCCCAGAGUCCCGUUUGCUUGGCAGUGGUAGAAACACAGAACGAGAAGCUAAGCUUGUCAAACCCUAACCACUAAAGUUGCAGGAAUUCAGUAAAAUUCCUUUUCAAACACUUAGCUACCUCUCUCAGUUAAAACAAACUAAACAGUUAAAACCCUUUCCAUGCACUCCCUUGAAAGUCAAUCCGAUAUACAAACAGAAAACAAAAGGAAAAAAAAAAUAAAUCAAAAGAUACCCUUUGAAACAGAACUUGCUCUUAAAGUGAUGAAGACAAAGUGUGUGUCUGGGGAGGCUUCCCAUUUUUCUCCUAAAUCCCAGGUUACAAGUACAACAAACAUUAUUGCUGGCACUAGCUUGAACCAAAGUGGCACACAUGACUCUUUGCACCUGUCAAAGUCCUUUACCCUCCCCUCCCCUUUCCGCUUACAGUGACUGGGGACAGCCCUCGUCAGUUUGCUGAUCACAGUGCGUGGAGCGGGGAGGUCACAGUGCGUGGGAUUGGAGGUCACAGUGGGCAGAGCAAAGGGGAUCACAGUGCAAGUAAACCAGGUAGUUCCCUUUGCUCAAGUCCAUUUGCCUGCCACAGCAGUGCGACCCGUGGCGGCUGACCCUGCUUUCUGCAGCAUCCUCUCGUGCCCACGUUUAUCUGCGUUGUUUGAAGCCUUGUGAACCAUCGGGGCCCAGGGGCUGCCUAAUCACAUUAUUGGGCUGUCUGAUGUCCUCCGGCUGGGAGAUCCUCGUUGGCCUGCAAGGAGAAAGGAGAGGACGAUGCAACAUGCCUGUGGAAUGCAAUGUGUAUACCUUCAGAUACUCCUAUACUUGCUUUGGUGGAAAGCUGCAGGACAGUGGUCACAGACCUGCUGCAUUUCUCCCUGGGAUAAGGGAGCA